rnacentral:tRNA from 1 species
GGGGGCGUAGCUCAAUUGGUUUAGAGCGCUGCCCUGUCACGGCAGAGGUUACGGGUUCGAGCCCCGCCGCUCCCGCCA